GAUGAACGCUGGCGGCGUGCCUAAUACAUGCAAGUCGAGCGAACAGAUAAGGAGCUUUCUCCUUUGACGUUAGCGGCGGACGGGUGAGUAACACGUGGGUAACCUACCUAUAAGACUGAGGUCACUUCGGGAAACCUGAGCUAAUACCGGAUAACAUUUAGAACCUCAUGGUUCUAAAGUGAUCGCUGGAUUUGCUAUCCCUUAUAGAUGGUCCCGCGUCGUAUUAGCUAGUUGGUAAGGUAACGGCUUACCAAGGCAACGAUACGUAGCCGACCUGAGAGGAUGAUCGGCCACACUGGAACUGAGACACGGUCCAGACUCCUACGGGAGGCAGCAGUAGGGAAUCUUCCGCAAUGGGCGAAAGCCUGACGGAGCAACGCCGCGUGAGUGAUGAAGGGUUUCGGAUCGUAAAACUCUGUUAUUAGGGAAGAACAAACGUGUAAGUAACUGUGCACGUCUUGACGGUACCUAAUCAGAAAGCCACGGCUAACUACGUA
rnacentral:rRNA from 1 species